rnacentral:lncRNA from 1 species
AAAAAGUAGGUUUUGUUUAUGAUAGCCAUUGUUAAAAUGAGAGUGGCGGCUCAUGUCUUAAUUUGGAAGAUCGAUAACCACCAAAUGAAGAAUCGCUAUGGCGCUUAUAAACUCAGGUAUGCUUCCGCAUCUAGCAUUAUAUUUUUGAUAAAUCGGCAUUAAUUGAUUUUGGGAAAAGAUUUAUCUCUAAAAUUAGUCCCAACAGUAUAUUCAUAAUAUUCUUGAUAUGAUUGCUUGCUUCUCAAGGACUCUAAAUUUUGUUACAUAAAAUUUUUAAUUCACUUAAGUGCAGAAAACUUUAUACAUAACUAGUGACAAUUAGGUGAUCACCAUGAAAAAUUAUGAGAUCUGUUAAACCCAACAUUCAUUACUCAUUGGUUGUAUUUUUUUGUAUAAAUUGGGUUUAAUUUUUUUUUUUUUUUUUUUUGUAAAUAUCAUGACUAUUUAUCUUAUAGACUUUGCUUACAAGUCUUAUUUUUUUUUUUCCUCAUUCAAAAUUCAUCUUGCUCUCUCGCUUUUCUCUGAAUAUCAAGCUGACUUUCUACUUCUCCAAGUAUAUUAGACGGCUUAUAUAAUUGUUCUUUUUGAAUGGGUAAGAUUUCAAAACUUUUACAACUACUUUGUAUUAAUUUGGAUAUGUUAGAACUUUUAUGGACCUGCAUAUAUGGAGAAAAAUUGUAUGUUGACUGCUGUAUAUCAGUAAACGACUGACAAAAAUUAAAGUUAUAUUAAGGUUUAAACUUAAUGGGCCUAAAGGAAUCCCUCAUUAAGUAUGGGGUCUUAUGUAUAAAUAUCCGGAUGUAAUUUUUAAAUUAAUUAUGGACUAAAUUAGAAUUACUUAAACCUACUUUUUUAUAAAAAUAAAGUUAUUGUCCCAAAUCAAAAAGUAGGUUUUGUUUAUGAUAGCCAUUGUUAAAAUGAGAGUGGCGGCUCAUGUCUUAAUUUGGAAGAUCGAUAACCACCAAAUGAAGAAUCGCUAUGGCGCUUAUAAACUCAGGUAUGCUUCCGCAUCUAGCAUUAUAUUUUUGAUAAAUCGGCAUUAAUUGAUUUUGGGAAAAGAUUUAUCUCUAAAAUUAGUCCCAACAGUAUAUUCAUAAUAUUCUUGAUAUGAUUGCUUGCUUCUCAAGGACUCUAAAUUUUGUUACAUAAAAUUUUUAAUUCACUUAAGUGCAGAAAACUUUAUACAUAACUAGUGACAAUUAGGUGAUCACCAUGAAAAAUUAUGAGAUCUGUUAAACCCAACAUUCAUUACUCAGUUUAUAGUCCUAAGUUGAUUUGCUAUGUUUAAAUAUAUAGCUUUUGUAACUACUUUAUCACUUCUAUUAAAAGCCAAUUGUGAUGACCCACUACAUUCAUGUCAUGUAGGUGCCACAUGGCAUAAAGAUGCUUAUGUGGAAAGCUUACAUGGAAAGAAAGCUAGUCCCUUAAUGGUAUACUCUAGAAAAAUAUGAAAAUUUUCCAUGAAAAAUUCUAGAAUUCCUUAGAUUUGCAUGAAAAGUUCUUGAAAUUUUGUAGCAUUGUAGAAAACUCUAGAGAGAGGACUAUUUUAUAAACAUGAGCGACUUGUAGGAUAAUUAUUAUUUGCAUUUUAGUCAUUAGGUAAAUAGCAUAAAUAGAGAGAUAUUCAUUUAUAAAACCAUCAAGCAAAAGUCUUCCAAUUCUUGACAGCAUAAAUAGAGGGAUAUUCAUUUGUAAAACCAUCAAGCAAAAGUCUUUCAAUUCUUGAGUAAUAUAAAAGCUUCCUUCAGAAAUUCUCUUGUAUCUUUCUUGAAAUUAGCAUUCUCUUAGCGAUUUAGUGUCAAAAAGUCUUACUGGAGUUUGUAAGAUCGUGAAAAAUUCGUAAGCAAGUUUUCAAGUAUCAAAGAGAUACUUAGUAGGGGUCUAUGUCCGUGACAACGUGGUAUCAAAGCAAAUAUUAAUACUAGGAAAAUGAAAAAAAGGGGAGACAUUAAUGCUGCUAGCACCACCAAUGUUAAACAGAAUACUGUGGAGAAGCACCAAAAAGGGAGAAAUAAUCAUAUGAAGAGUAAGAAACUAUUGUUUGACCCUACACCAAGUGAAGCGCUAACAUCUUACUCACAUUCGACCGCUAAGCGAGUAAGGACAAAAAAGAGGAGGUGUCCCAAGACGUCACGUUGGGAUUAAAGUGGAUCAUAAGGGUUGAUACAACGAGGAAGACUGUGGAGAUUUCUAAACAAUUUCUAAACAAGAUCGACAACCAACUCAAGACUCUUUAAGGAGAAUGAAAACAUCUGAAAAGAAUUGGAGGGAGGCACAAAAAUUCAGAAUUAGAGAUGCGAGAAACUAUCACUACCUUGGAGUGAGAGCUCAUGGAAGCAUUAAGCACUAUUGAGACCAUGAAGGCCAACAUAGAGGCACUCAAUUGGCCAAUUGAAGCUGGAGGGUUCGCGAUAUACAACAAAGAGAGAGAGGCCAUGGUUGAGGCUGUAAAGCCACCCAUGUUCAAAGGCGCUCAUGAUGCACAAGAGGUAGAGAAAUUUCUGUGAUUUGGAGAAUUAUUUAAAGUUCAACAAGGUUAAGAGUGAUGAGAAAAAAGCUUGGAGAUGGCCAUGCUAUGGUGAAAACAAAAGGAACCUGAGAUGGAGAAAGAGCUUUGCACCAUCUAUAUAUGGGAAUAAUUUUGAGUGAGUUCAGAAUGACUUUCUUACCCAAUAAUGCCUUAUGAGGUGAAGCGCAAGUUUUCAAAGUUGAAAUAGACUGACAACAUACAAUCAUACGUAAAGGAGUGCACCGCUCUCACACUUAAAAUUCUUACCCUUAUAGAUGAGAUAUGUUGUUCCACUUCAUAGUUGGGCUACAAAAUUAGGCCAAGGCAGAGUAGAAAGUCGACAUAUUAAUACUACUAAUGAAGCCAUCAUACUGAAUCUUUGACAAACUUUAAGCAUGACAAAUAUAACAAAGGUACAGACAAGGAAACAAGAAGAAGUCAUAACAAAGAUGGAGAAGAUCAUGGCAAAAACAAGGAGAAACAACCGUACCCCAAGAAUCACGACAUCAAUGGUGAUGGCAAGAUGUUUGGAUGUCAAAACUAUACCAAGAGAAAGGUACAUAUAAUGAAGAAAAAUGCCAGCCACAUAUGCGGUGUGCUGCAUGGCUAUGCAAGGUGACCCAAAAUAAAGACCUUUGGUGUCAUAUUACUUAAACGAAAAUAAAAAGAUGCACAACACCAAAAACAAGGUGGGGAACUAUACAAUUAGGCUCGAGUGGGCUAUGUGACAAUAUCUCAAAGCAUUUAUAAAGGCCGAAAGAAUACAACAUCCAAUGUGUGGACAUCACCAUCGAUGAUCUAUCUGCUCGGGCUAUGAUCGACUUAGGUGCGGAAGCCAAGAUCAUGACCAAGGCAACAACAACAUAGUUGUGGUUGAGUUCAAAUCCAAGCAAUGGUCACCUCAAUACAGUCAAUGUACCACUAACUCUAGUGUACAAAGUUUCUAAAUGAGUAUGCAUCAUAUUGAGCAAGUGACAAGGCAAAACCAACUUCACCGUCACUUCUAUAGAUAUCUUUGACAUAAUUCUUAAAUAGGAUUUCUUCCAAAGAAGUCAUACUAUGAUCUAUUCAUACCCCCUACAACUCUUGGUUAUGCAGUGAGAACGAUCUUAUAUGUCACCCAUGUUUAAGCUUUCAAAAAUGGAAGGACAAGUAAAAUUAUCGGUCGUGCAGCUUAUGAAGGGCCUUAAGAAGGGGGGGUCGAUGUUAUAGUCACUAUUGCAAGAUUGGGUAAAGACAAUAAUGCCCAAUAAGAAAUGCCACCAGAGAAUAAUGAUGUUAUGCUCGAGGUACGAUCGAAGCUAGGAACAUUUUAUAUGGCUCUACCUAAGUUGGAUGAACUAAGAAAACAAGUGAAAGAGUUGUGCAAAGAUGGUCAAAUUCAGCCAUCAAAAUCCCCUAUACAACGCAAGUCUUAUUUCAAAAAAAGAAGGAUGGGACUAUACAUAGACUAUAGGGAACUCAACAAAGUAAGAAUGAAGAACAAACGCCUUAUACUGCUUAUUGAUCGCCUAUUUGAUAGACUUAGAUGUGCUAAAUACUUUACCAAGAUGGAUCUUGAAAAGGGUUACUACAAAGUAUGUAUAACAAAAGGGAAUGAAUCAAAGACAACAUCUAUAAUAAAAUAUGGAGCCUACGAGUGAUUGGUGGUGCCCUUCGGCUUAACCAAUGCACCCACUACCUCUUUCACACUAGUGAGCAAGGUUUUUCAUCCCUAUUUAGACCAGUUCAUGGUAGUGUACCUAGAGGACAUAGUUUUCUACAAAAAGGGCUUGGAGGAGAAUAUUGAGCACUUGAAAAAAGGGUUUUCAGGUUUUGUGAGAGAAUGAGCUUUACAUUAAAUGAGAGAAAUGUGCGUUUUCCCAACAUGAGGUACCCUCCUUGGGUCAUGUCAUUAGCCAGGUGUGAUUACGUCUGAACGAGGACAAGGUGCGGGCUAUUUAAGAAUAGGAGGCAUCCAUGAAGGUGACUAAGUUUAGAUAUUUUCUUGGAUUUGCUAACUAUUAUCGUAGAUUCAUUAGUGGCUACAUUGCUAAAGGAUCUGUAACUAAGUACAAAUACAUCUCCUUACUACUUUUUUGGAGCAACAUGACAAUUGUAAAUAAUAUAAAGGUCAUGAUUGGCUUCUUAAGUUCAUUGCACGUUUAGUAGUGAUGUUGAUCUUUAAAUAUCCUUAAAGAAACUUCUAGUGGUAGACUUUUUAAAAUAAAUAUCUUUUAUUAAUAAAAAGCAUAGGCCUAAAUUAUGAAUUCACCCUAGCUUUUAGUUUGAUUCCAAAAAUCAUAUUAUUUGUCUUGAAUUCUGGAUCAAUUUUGGUCUAAGUAUUCAAAUUGAUUAAAUCAUAACCAUACACAAAUUCUACAUCUACACAUAUGUUAUGUUAACACUGGUACAUCACCAUAUAUAAAGAGUCGACCAACUUAGGAUAGUAUUAUAUUAGACCUUAACUCUAUUAACAUUAUUCAUAUUUCCUUAUUAAGUUUCAAUUUGAAGUAAAUUAUUCAUGAAAGCCUUGUAUCAAACAACAAUCCUACCAACAGAUAUACCUAAUGUUAUUAGCACAUUUAUCACCUAUAAUUUUCAUGUCCUUUACAUUUUUUAUUCAAAUUCAAUCUAGAGGUGUAAUGUCCUCUUAAAAUAAUGCUAAAACAUAGAUAAACUAUCAAUGUUAUUCACUUAGGGUGUUGAAGACACCAAGCACUAUAAUCAAAUAGUUGUCUCAUGAAAAAUUGCAAAAACAAAAAAGAUAAAGAAGAUCUCCGAACUGAUAUAAUGUAAAGAUGCAUGUAACAUAUGAAUAGUCUUAUUCUAUAAUUAACAAACUAAAGAAACUUAAAAGUAUUUAAGCCGUAGUUUUUACAGGUCAUUAGUUAUAAUAUUAGCAUUUGAUUGAGUUUCUGCAACUUUUAUUCUUGAUGUGUUCUUGAUUUAUUUUGUAAAAUAGAACAAAUUGAGUUUUAAUGUAGAUGUUUGAUGCAAUAUUAAAAUGAAACUUAGGAACUGCUGUAUAUCUGAUCAAUUCAUCUUCUGGGUUGUGUAUUAUAAAAGUUGAUCUAGCUAUAAUCAAUAUUUCACCUUUAAUUUAUUUGACAUGCAUUGUGUUGGAGAAAUAGCAGAAGUAAAUGAACCAACCUCAAGAUCAAUAGGAUAUUUGAUGAUUAUAUAUUUUUGUCUAUGAAGUUUUAACCCUAUAUGUUUUAUAAUCCACACAUUUGUAUGACUUUUUGACAAAUAAAAAAUGCAAAAAGAAUAUUUUCAACAAUCGCACCAGUGAAAGACUACCUUUUUCAUAGUAGAACAUCUCUAUUUUUCCUUUUUUUCAUUAGCCCAAUUAAUUUUUUUUUUUGUACGAGCCCUCAUAUGUAUUAAGACCAUUAACAAUAGCAGGUCAAUAAAGCUUUUCAUUCACAAACUUACCUGAAAUACUUAAUUGCCUCUUACCAUCAACACCUUUUUCAAGAAUCAUUGUUUAACUAUAUAAGUGGAUCUCAACUUGAUUUGAAUUUCUAGUAUUGAAAUGCACACUAUUUUAUAAUUAUAGUGGAAUUCAUCAAAUUCAAAAUCAAUUAUGUGCAAAUCAAGCUUCACUAAUGUAGAUCUAGGAUUAGGUAAUUUCUUAGACUUCCUUUUGAUGUAAUUCGUAUAAUCAUGUUAGUAGAUUCAUUUUCAAGAUAAAUCAAUUCAUUAAUUGAACCUACAAUUCAAACAUGUGUAUGGACAUCAUUCAAGGAUAAUCCAAGCAAUAUUUCUCUAUAACAAAGUUAUUGGAUAAGGAACUAGCAGAAGAUUUUUUAAAAAUUAUUGAUAUUCAUAAUCAAAUAAGUCAUGUCUUGGGCAAACACAAGACUAUGGUGUGUAAUAUGUAUUAUCAAUAGUUACGUAAAGAUGAUUCUUGAUAAAUUCAAGGCUAGAUAUCAAAGUAAGUCAAGGUUUCUAUACCUAUCUAAAUUUUAAGAGAGAUUCCACCGAAAGCCUUAUUUCAGUGACAAGUUUUGAUGGCAAAGUAGAUAUUUCAAGAUUGAAUCUAUUGAUGGAAUUUGAGAAUGAGCAGUGAAUUUACUUUGUUUUAGCUGUUUAUGGAAGACUUGAGCUUCCUCACAUUAAAUUUUGACAACACAAAGUUGAAUUUUUGAUGUAAAUUCUGUUAUGGAGGCAACAAUUUUACCAAAAUUUAAUUUAAAGGGGAGCAAUAUUAUUUGGAUCUUUUAAUCAUGAUUUCUUGUUUGAUGUCUUUGCUGGUAUAUAUUUUAUAAAUUAGCUAAUUUAUUUAUAUUUUCACAUGAUUUUGAUAUAUAGCUUUGAAAUAUGGAUUCAAAUAUAGCCUUGAAUUUAAAAACAACACUAACAUAUGGAUAAAUUGUCUAAUUUGUAAAAUAUUUAGUUGUACAGACAUCAAACAAGAAUUCAGGACCAGAAGGCCCAAAUUAUUACUGUCAUCCUUUAAAUUCAACUGUGGUAAUAUUGUUGCCUCCAUAGCUGAAGUUGCCUUAAAGUGCUCAACUUUAUACUGUCAAAAUAAAAUUUGAGGAAGUUCAAAUUUUUCAUCAGCACUUAAAAUAAAGUAAAUUCAUUAUCCAUGCUCAAAUUCUAUCAGCAAAUUCAAUAUUGAAAAUUCCUGUUCUGUCAUAAAAAAUUAUCAGAGAAAUUCUUUUAAGGCUUUGAGUGAUACCCCUCUUGAGAUUUAGUUAUGUAUCACUAUCUUAACUUACUUUGAUUUCUAGUCUUGAAUUUAUCUAUAAUCGUCAUUGUGUAAGUGCUGAUAAUAAAGAUAAUGCACACCAUAUUUUUGUGUUUGUCAAAUACUGAUACCCCUCUUGAGAUUUAAUUAUGUAUCAAAAUAUUAACUUACUUUAAUUUCUAGUCUUGAAUUUAUCAAGAAUCUUCAUUGUGUAAAUACUGAUAAUAAAGAUAACACACACCAUAUUCUUGUGUUUGUCAAACACAACUACUUAUCUAGUAAUGUAUAUCAAUACUUUCUUACGAAUUAUUCUGUUAGUACCUUAUUCAAUAACUUUGUUAUGAGGGAUAUAACUUGGAUUAUCCUUUGAAUAAUGCCUGCACACAUGUUUGAUUAGUGACUCAAUAAAUGUGUUGAUUUAUCUUGCUAUUGCAUCCACUAACAUGUUACAUGAAAUUCAUUAAUUAGAAAGUUCAAGAAAUUUUUUAUUCCUAGACCUAUAUCAGUGAGGCUGGAUUUGCACAUAAUUAAUUUUAAUAUGAUGAAUUUCAUGAUAAUUAUAACGUAGUGUAUAUUUUAAAUACUACAAGUUUAGAUCAAGUCGAGAUUCACCUAUAUAGUUUAAAUAGUGAGUUUUGAAAAUGUAUUAAUAGUUGCCCAAUUUAGGGGCUGUUCAGAAUUUCAGAGAUAAGUUUGUGAAUGAAAAAUUUUAUUGGCUUGCUAUUGCUGAUAAUCUUAAUACAUGCGAUGACAGCUACAUUAUUUUUUCUAUUUGACUAAUAAAAAAUUAGAAAAGAUGAAGAUACUCCGAUAUAAAAAAGUAAUCUUUCAUUGGCGGGAGUGUUGGAAGGUGAUCCUUUUUGUGUUCUCGAAUUACCAAAAAAUUCAUGCAAAUAAGUUGGUUAUAAAAGAUUAUGAGGUUAAAAUAUCUUAGACAUAAAUGUAUACCAUUAAAUAUCCUGUUGGUCUUGAGGAGAGUUCGUUUACUUCUAUUUUUCUCCAACAUUAUGCGUAUAAAAUAAAGGUGAAAUAUUAAUUGUGACCAGAUCAACUUUCACGAUAUACAAUUUAGAGAAUGAAUCGAUUAGAUAUACAAUUAUUCCUAAGUUUUGUUUCAAUAGUGCAUCAAACGUCCACAUUAGUUGCCUAGUUUGUCCUCUUGUACAAAACGAACCAAGAACACAUCAAGAAUAGAGGUUGCAGAAGCUCAAUCAAAUGAUAAUGUUAUAGUUAAUGAUUAGUAAGGAUUUCACCUUAGAUAUUUUUAUGUUUCUUUAAUUUGUUAAUUAUAGAAUAAGAGUUUGCAUAUGUUUCAUGUAUCUUUACAGAACAUCUUCUUGAAGAUUUUUUUUUUAUCUGUUUUUCCUUUUACAUAUUUCUAUCAGAUAAUUAUUUGAUCAUAGUAUUUGGUGUCUUUAACACUCAAAGUAAUGAUAUGGAUAUUUUAGUUCUUUUUAAGUAUUCUUUUAAGGGAACGUUGUGCUUUCAAAUAGAAUUAGAACAAAGAGUGUGAGGGUGAAAAUCAUAGCAGAUAAAUUUACUAAUAACCAUAAGCAUAUUCUUUGAUAGGAUACUAUUCUGAUAUAAGAACUUUAUUAAUAAUUCUAUUUAAAUUGCAACUUAACAAUGAAGUAAGAAUAAUAUUAAAAGAAUUAAGGUCUGCUAUAGUACUAUUUUAAGUUGCAAAAAAUUUUCAUGUCGAGUGCCGCAUUUGUGUCGCACGAAAUAAAUAUAGGUGUGAAAUUCAUAACUGAUAUGAUUAAUUAAUCUAAAUUUUUUAAUCAGAAUUGAUUGAUUAAUUUGGGAUAGAUACAAUGAAUUUUGAAAUCAAAAUGAGGGUAAAAUCAUACUUUAGGAUAAAAGAUAUUUUUAUUUAAAAGCUCGCUAUCGCAGGGUGCUUUAAAGAUUUUUAAGACCAACAUCCUUGAUGGAUAUGCAAUGAACUCAAGAACUCCUAUCAUAGCCUUUAUAUUAAUUACAAUAGUCGUGCUGCAUCGAAAAAAUAUUAGUAAGAAAAUGUCCACUAAAUACAGUGUUACUUAUGUUGUCUCUACUAUGAUAAAAGUUGAACAAAACUUCUCCUCCUUGAAUAUUUUUUGUAUGUAGUCACUUGAGAUUAUCGUGAUAAAAAGUUGAACAAUCUUCUUUUAAAAUCCUUUCAUAUAUAUGACAAUGUUGGUGUUGUUAAUUUUUUCAGCUUGUAAUGAAUUUUCAGUUGAUACAUGCUAAAAGAGGCAAAAGCUUGAAAAAUAAUUAUUGAAUGCAAUAUAUGAUUAAUUUUUACUCGCUACGAUACUUGUAAUCAAUGUUGUGUUUUAUUAUUUUUAUAUUUCAGUUGUUAGCAUUUUAGUUAAUCAAAUUUUAUCAAGUAAGUAGUUUGUUGAAUGAAAGUAGUAGAAUUUUUGAAUUUAUUAUCUAGUUGAGUGAUAGUAGAAGUUAGUGGGCCACUAUCCUAUUUUUUUCUUAACAAAAUUCUAUUCAAGGAGUACAAUUAUUGUAAAUAAGGACUAUGAGAAGUUUAGCCAAUUCAAUAGAAUUCUAGUAUUUUUUUUACUCUUAAUCAUAGUCUCUACUUUUCCAUCGGUGAUUCAGCAUCAGAUUAAAACCUUAGCUUUUUGUGAGAGAAACACUUAAGAAAUGUUGCAGCAACAAUGUGUUAACCUAUGACUUCCAACAACUUUAUGUAGACAACCAUACCUCACUGUGACCGUCAGGACGUGUUGGUAAAGAUUUCAUAGUAUCAAAGAAGUGUUGACAUGUGGUUAUAGAUAGAAUAUUAGAAAUAGCAAACGGAAUAACAGUGCUAGACACAAAAAAGCAGAAGCAUAAGUAGCAAAGUUAAAAAACCUCAAGGUGAUGAAUUAUCCUUUUCAAGAAAUUGAUCGAGGAUAGAGGUAGAAUUCCAAAUUUGUGUAUCAAUUUCUCAAUUAGUGUAUUUUUAAUAAAUUCAUUCAAUGUUCUUAUAUAUGAAUUUUAAAAUAAAGUUAUUAGAACUUGAAGUUACAGUUCUAAAAUUCAAAGCUCAUAAAGUCAAAAAUCUGAAUUUGUCUCUUGAACGUUAUUCGUGAUAAAUGGUUGAGAAAAAUUCUUGUAACGAUCCGAGACUACCCCCAAGUCGUCACACGAUGCUUGGAACCACAAGUGAUCCCAAGAUAAUGUGAUGCCCCGAGUUUCAUGAAGUUUACAUGUCAUAAAUCUCUCAUUCUUUUCUGACAAAAUCAGAUCUAGCCUAAAGAAAUUGUUAUCCCUAAGUUUACUCUAUCGCUUCGAUCUAAGCCAUAUAGCUAUUUUCAUGAAAGUUCAUACACUCACAGAUCAGUUUAGUAGCCCACUACGUUGAGAUUCAGUCACAUAGUUUAUUUCAAUUGUGCAUGAUAGCUUAUAACCUAUGAUUCCUCAGUAAUUUCAGUCUAAUUAGCCACAUUCGAGGAUGAAUGUUCCCAAAAUAGAGAUAUUAUAAUACCCCAUACUUUUCCUAGCUUAAAAUCAUCCCCAGAAUGUCAAAAUAUUUCUUCAAAAAUGAAUACUAUUUAUUUUAUGCGGUAUUUUCAAGAUUUUGACUUUUUAUUGUGUGGAAAAUUGAAUAAGAUUUCCAUCGAUACCAAAUUUACCUAAAUCUGACACUCGGUGAAGGAGUUAUGGCUAUUUUAAGUUCUAGUCGUAAAACACCGUCAUUUCGGUCACUAGCGCGUCGCGGAGAAGAUUUAAAUGACGAUUGUCAAUUUCCAGUGGACCUACGUGAUAAUGGCGCAUUGUGCCAUGUGCCAAAAUGGCAUUCCAAAGGGGCACCGUGAUGGCUCCGUAUUGCGGAGUCUGCCUAGUUCCCGUUUGUCGAUUUCCAGUGAGCCAUCGCAAUAGUAGCGUGUCGCGGUGGCCACCCAUUUUGCAAAAUGUUGAAUUUUUUAGUUUUGUUUGGGGGUUUAAUGAGGGUAUUUUGGUCAUCCUCCCAGCCCCUAGUCUGUCUUAAACAUUGAAUUAAACCCCUCCAAAGCACCUUACGUUCAAUUUUCAUCAAAUUUCUCUCAAACAAAACCCUAGAUCAUCAAGCUUUCUCCCUAAGAAACUCAAAUUCCUCCAUUAACCUUUCAAGGAAACUCAAGAUUUGGAAUCGCCAAGUCAAGAACUCCAAUAAUUCAUCUCCAAAGCAUCAAUAGGGAUCCAAGAUUCAAGUUCUAGCAUCUAGUUCAUCCAACAAGGUAUGUGGGGUUUGAAAAAGUAUAAAUCUUUCAUCCUUGUGCCCAAAACUUUUUUUUUAUUACAAAUUUACUGCAAUUUAUUUGAUUUCCCAUGAUUUUCAAGUUAGGGUUUAUACCCAUUAUCAUUAUUUGCAAGAUUAUGAGAUUUCCCAUGAUUUAAAAGUUGAAUUACAUGUUUAUGUUCAUAUUUUCAUGCUUAAUUCAGAAAUUUCCAGAUUUGAGAUGAAUUAUCAUUGACAUUAUUAUCAAGCAUGAUUACUAUGAUAUUUUGACAUGACUUUGCUAUGUGGGUUUUAAGUCCCAAGAUUAUAUGUUGAGAUUUUGAAAAAAAAUGUUGCUUUAAACUUCCUAUUAUCAGAUUAUUUCAUAGAUUUUUAGUAAAACUUUGAUCUUUCAAUCAUCAUAUUAGCUAUGAAAUCCACUUUACAGAUUAUUACAGAUUAUAGAACUCAAUAUAGCUUUCUUUAAAGAUCUACUCAGAUGAUUGCAUAAUUCGUUUUAGAUAAACCCUUAUGCUAGUUUUAAAAUGGAUUUCUAACAGAAUGAGCGUAGCAAAUAAAAAGAGAGUAGUAUUUAGCACCGAGAGGGAAGUGUAGGUUUAGCGCAUCCUACUUCCACAGAACUACGUAGCCAACGGAGGUACAGAUUCAGAUUAUUCACAUUUAUAUGGAUGACAGAUUUAGCUUGUGAUCGAUCACAUACUCCCUGACAAGAGUAUGACACCUCUCUUCAACGUGAGGUUUCUUUCUUAGGAGGGCAAAAUGUUGGACUCUAUGUUAGCUCACAUGGUUUAUGUUGCUUAAGAGAACCUCCCUACUAAUAAAAGUAAUAGUUUUCAGAAUAGUUUUAAAGUAUUUCCUUUCAGAUAAGAGAUACAGUAUUCUCCUUAAUAGUAAAAGAAGACCAGAAAAGCUUUUAGAAAUCUAAGUGUAAAGGCUCACAAGUUUUACUCAGAUUAUACCUUACAUAAAAGAUAAUAGCUACAAAUUUCAGCUUUUAGAUUUCAGAUUCAGUAGUGAGUCCUUCUACACUUAGUCAGAAUGAUUUAAAGGGAGAAUACAAGUAUAAUUUUUAGAACUAAAUGUUAUGGAUCACAAGAUUUAUAAAGUAUGUUUUGCUUCCUAUUGUUAUAUAUUUUAGUAUUUCAGAUAUUCCAUCUUAUGUGAGUCAUUUACAUUUAGCAUGCAUCAUUUUACAAAUUAUGAUGACUGAUAUUAUGUUUUACUUAUGCAUUCACAUCCAUAUACUCAGUACAUCCUCAAAUUACCGAUCCAUAUAUAUGUCUAUGUGCUACAUUGUCUCAUAAUGUAGGUACGAGUUGCAACACGCAUACCAUAUUCAGACAGUUUGCAGAUUUCAGCCAGCGGAUGAUGAGUCCUCCUACUUAAGGGACUUUAGUUAGAUGUUAUUUAUGUACUUUACUUCCUUACUCUCAUGUAUUGAUUAUUGAUAGUUGGGGUCACAUCCUAGCUAUCUAUAGUCAGUAUAGUAGAAGCUCUACAGAUGUCAGUUAGAGUCAGUUAUGUAUUUUUAGUCCCUCUUUCAGACUUUAUUAGAAUGUAAAAGUUGUAUUGAUAUUGUUUUUAUGUCCAGGUUCAACCAUUAUUCUAUUUCCACACAGUAAACUCAGUUGUUUUAUGCAUAUCAUUCAG